rnacentral:rRNA from 1 species
GAUGAACGCUGGCGGCGUGCCUAAUACAUGCAAGUCGAGCGAACAGACGAGGAGCUUGCUCCUCUGACGUUAGCGGCGGACGGGUGAGUAACACGUGGAUAACCUACCUAUAAGACUGGGAUAACUUCGGGAAACCGGAGCUAAUACCGGAUAACAUGUUGAACCGCAUGGUUCAACAGUGAAAGACGGUCUUGCUGUCACUUAUAGAUGGAUCCGCGCCGCAUUAGCUAGUUGGUAAGGUAACGGCUUACCAAGGCAACGAUGCGUAGCCGACCUGAGAGGGUGAUCGGCCACAGUGGAACUGAGACACGGUCCAGACUCCUACGGGAGGCAGCAGUAGGGAAUCUUCCGCAAUGGGCGAAAGCCUGACGGAGCAACGCCGCGUGAGUGAAGAAGGUCUUCGGAUCGUAAAACUCUGUUAUUAGGGAAGAACAAAUGUGUAAGUAACUAUGCACGUCUUGACGGUACCUAAUCAGAAAGCCACGGCUAACUACGUG